UACGGAGGGUGCAAGCGUUAUCCGGAUUCACUGGGUUUAAAGGGUGCGUAGGUGGGUUGGUAAGUCAGUGGUGAAAUCCCCGAGCUUAACUUGGGAACUGCCAUUGAUACUAUCAGUCUUGAAUACCGUGGAGGUUAGCGGAAUAUGUCAUGUAGCGGUGAAAUGCUUAGAUAUGACAUAGAACACCAAUUGCGAAGGCAGCUGGCUACACGAAUAUUGACACUGAGGCACGGAAAGCGUU
rnacentral:rRNA from 1 species